UAAUUGAGUAUAUUGAUGUGGUGCCUCGGGGCGUGGAAGAGGUUUAGGUGUGUGGGUCUAGGGGCCAAGAAGGUCAGUUGCAAGGUGGCCGAGGAACGGGGUGGACGUGCUCGCUCCUCCUCCUCUACUCUCUUCACUCGUACAUCUUCAGACACCACUAAAACCACCAUGAGUGCUCCUAAGAAAGUGUGCAUCGUGGGGUCGGGCAAUUGGGGGUCGGCCAUUGCCAAGAUCGUUGGCACAAACGUUACCAAGUUUGACAAGUUCGACAACGAGGUGCGGAUGUUCGUGUAUGAGGAGAUGGUCGACGGCAGGAAGCUAACGGAGAUCAUUAACACCACCCACGAGAACGUAAAGUACCUCCCGGGCAAGAAGCUCCCAGAGAACGUGGUGGCAGUACCUGAUGUAUUGGAAGCUGCUAAGGAUGCAGAUGUGCUCAUUUUUGUCAUCCCUCACCAGUUCAUCAAGCGCAUUUGUCAGCCUCUGGUAGGGAACCUAAAACCUACCACUGUGGGCAUCUCUCUUAUUAAGGGUUUUGAUUCAAAGGAGGGAGGUGGCCUCACUCUAAUUUCACACCUCAUUCAGGAAACUGUAAAUAUUCCAGUGUCUGUCCUCAUGGGGGCCAACUUGGCUGGAGAAGUUGCUGAUGAAAAGUUUUGUGAAACUACGAUAGGUUGUCGUGACAUGGAAGUUGGACGGGUGUACAGAGACCUUAUUCAAACUGAUUACUUCAGAGUAGUAGUAGUUGAAGAUGUUGAAGCCGUUGAAGUCUGUGGAGCUCUUAAGAAUAUUGUAGCGACAGGUGCUGGGUUUGUCGAUGGCCUUGGGUACGGUGACAACACAAAGGCUGCCAUUAUAAGACUAGGUCUGAUGGAAAUGAUAAAGUUCUGUGAGGUUUUCUAUCCAGGGUCAAAAUUAGGAACAUUUUUUGAGAGUUGUGGUGUUGCUGAUCUCAUUACCACUUGCUAUGGCGGCAGAAACAGAAAAGUUGCAGAAGCAUUUGUUAAAACAGGCAAGUCUAUUUUGGAACUAGAAAAGGAAAUGCUGAAUGGCCAGAAGCUACAAGGACCUUACACGGCAGUAGAAGUAAAUUAUAUGCUCAAAGAUAAAAAUAUGGAAGAAAGAUUUCCUCUCUUCACAGCUAUUCACCAGAUUUGUUUGGGUGAUCUUCCUCCUUCAGGGAUGAUUGACUGUAUUCGAAACCAUCCUGAACAUAUGCCCCCAAACUGCUAUAAAAUAACGAUGAAACCAGGUUUGCUUGGUUAAGACGAGGAGCCUUUGAGGAAACACGUCACUGUUGUGCUCUUGUUGGCCCCACACACACACACCAAGUCUGGUGCUCUUUCGAUGAACAACACACACCAGUCGCAUAAUGCCAAGAUUAAAAGCUUCAGAAAUAAGACUUUUACUAUUUUCUGCGAAUGAAUUAUACAUCUUGUCAUAGAAAUAAUGUGGGCAUUCUGUGAUGGCGUUAAGUAAGUUACUAUUUUUUGUUUUGGUUUUUAUAUAAAAAUAUAUAAAUAAAAUAUUUGAGUGUUUAUCAGAACUUUAUAUAUGGUAGAUCGGUGGGUCCUCCAGUUUCCAUGUGUGCUAAUCUCCUAAAGUUGUCUUGUGAAUAAUUUCUCCUUUCGCAAUAUAUGUUUAUCAUAUCAGUGUUUGUAUAUACUGUACUGCUAUUAAAAUUAGUUUUGAAUUAGAGAGGGAUAACAUUUACUGAUUAACUCUUGUUAAAGAUUAAGAUUAAGGGAAGUUUGUCCCCUUAUGUUAUAUAAAUGUGAUCUCCUGUUGUCCCCACAACAAUUAUAAUUGAGGCAACAAAAGUUUAAAAGUUCUUGUACUGCACUCUUCUGUAAUGCCAUAUUUAUCAAGUACCUUUUUUAGUUUUUUAACAUUUACAUGCAAACCAUUUAUACUUUAUAAAAGUGAAUGUUUACUCGGCAAAAAUUCUGCUUUAGAAAUGCAGAAAGUAUUUUUUGCAAAAACUGGAAUAAGUGUGCAGAAGGUAUAGUUUUGUUCUGUAUACCACACAAGUUACCAGUUUUAAUGACACAAGAUAGUAAUAGUAAUAGAAAGAUUCAUAAGUUUUGCACUAUACAUAUUCUUGAGCAAAUGUUUUAUGGCUUAAUUUAAGCAAACACGUCUUAAAUUUUGGUCUCGGUCAUUAAUAACAUUGACAGUGUGUUCGUACACUUCCUCCACCACAGUUUGGUCUCUUAUCCACCUGUUCAACCACUCUCUUCAUUAAAGUAUACUUUAGCAUUCCUUUUGUUUAAUGUGCGUUAUAGUCCUUUCAUUCCUGUCCUGAAGUCUUUAGUUCUAGUGGCCAGUGAACAUUAAUGAAUGUACCAAUAUUGUAGUUCUUUCACGUUAUAACCUUUUGUUUAUUGAGAUUUUCUUGCAAAUGUCAUUUCUGCAGCUCUCAAUUUAAUUUGACUUAAUUUUUUAGGUACAAACAAAAAAUUACUAGAUCAUAAUAAAUUAGAUUACUCAUCAGUGUUCAUUUUGAACUACAGAUUUUUUAUUUAACUAAAAUAUGCCAACUUGUUAAUCUAAAAACUGUUACUGAUAAACUGAAGAGAUGCAAUAUACAGUAAUGUACAAAAUGAACAACGAUAGUACUGUACUCUGAAAACUAAAGCGGAGCUGACAAAAACAAAAUAACAAAAAUUUGCAACACAUCAUCCUUGAUUCACCUUUAACAAAAUCACUUGUUUACCUUAUUAGACAAGUGUGCAAAGAUGGUUUAAAAUUAUAUAUUUUCUUGAUGUUUUCAGGAAGUACAUUACUCAAUUUAAAUGGAUUAGCAAAAUUUGUACAUAGUUCAUGAAGGAUCAGUUGCAAAAGCUUGACUAGAGCUAGACCAAAUUGAGCUAGACUAGAGCUAGACUAGAUUGAUAAGAGCUUCACUGGAAUAAACAAAGGACACAAGUUCCUAUAAUCUUCAACCGUGUGCAUAAAAUUAAGCAAGAAACUUGUAUUAUUAAAGUUUGUAUAGUAACUUUAUUGCAAAAGUAGUUUUAUCUUGUAUAUAGCUUGAGACUUUAAAUUUCCUUGUGCUGAAAGUGUCCUUCAAUGUUUAAACAUGCAGAACAUUAGACCCAUGUUUUUAGUUUUUUCAAGGUGGUGGCUAUUUGCAGUUAAAGCGGCAGCACAUUCAUUUUCUUUUACAUAAUGUCAUAACUAUUUGAAUUCGACCUUUUAUUAACAAAUUACUCUUAACAAAAAUCACUGACACGGUACAUUGUAAAAGGCAGCUGUACCCACAACACUGGGACCCAGUAACCCCUACAUAUGUACACGGGAAGAUGGGACACCACGAGCGUAGCUCUCAUCCUGUAACUACACUUAGGUAAUUACACUUAGGUAAUUACGACAUUUGUGUUGCAACCUAGUCAAUUAUGUAUAAACGUAGUUAGCCUUUCCUCCCUCUCCCCACAUGCAUACACAGAGAAAUCAGUUUCACUGUUAACUGGUUCUUACAAAAGUAUUUCCCAAGGAUAGUAAGAGACCUGUUAUAUUAUACACUAAAUUUUAUUAAGCAGCUGUCGAUUAAAGUUUGUCACUAAACAAAUGAUAAAGCAUUAUGCCAGAUAAAGGUACUGUUUAUAGGUUAUGUAAUACCAAAAUGUUAUGUACAAUUUUAAAUACUGUUUCUAUGUAAUAUGGUGCAUUGCUGUAAUGAACCAUUAAGAAUAUAUGAAGUUUCCUGCCCCCACAAAAGGCAUAGGUGCUGGUGUAAUGUGUAGAGUAAUGAAAUUUGGAGGUUUUCAAAUUGAUGUGCCCACUAUUGGCAAUUUUAACAUCUAAAUGAUAUGACUUGUUAAGAGUAAUAUUUGCUGUAUAUCAAUAUACUUUUGAUAACAUAAAUAUCAUCUCGGUUGAGUGCUUUGUCUAAGCAAAAUAAUAUAUAGAUGAAUUGGCUACAAUAUCAUUUUGAUUUGAUUUCUGACCAAACAGAAGAUUUGCAUUAAAAAGCAGAGUUUAUUUUUAAGCACUGCCAUGCUUAGAGAAGCGUUUGGCUUGGUAAAGUUACAUCAGUGAACAAGGCUUUGCUCAUAUGGUUUGAAGAUGCGUUUUAAUCAGUGCUUCCAUCACAUGAUUACUUCAGUAAUUUGUGCCAGUUUUACUUUGUACAAGUCAACGCAUUCAAAGUAUUUUGUCUUGCACAUUAAGUGUAAUUUACAAAACUUUUUUUUUUUUUUUUUUUUUAUUUACAGCAGUGAGAGUACAGUAUUAGCUAACCUUUCAUAGGUACUAUACUGUGUAUUUAAAGUGUUUUGACAUUUUUAUAGAGAUUUAUUAUGCUCAAGCAUUUCAUGCAGUUACUAUUGUAUCUACCUAAAGUUAGCAACCUGGUGCUGCACUCUAAUAUUCAUACUUUAAUUUAAUUUAAAAUAUCUCGACACUUAUUGGCUAUGCAUUUUUCAAACUUUUGCAUGUAUAACUUAGUACAAACAUACAUAAUACUGUAGUUACUCUAUCAGUAACAUGUAUUUUUAAUUGUUUUGGACUCAUAACAACUCAGGUCACUACUGUAUUAUAACUAAUUUUGAGUACUGUAUUUAGUUAGAAGUAACAAAGGAUUUCCAUAAAAACCUAGAUAGUUCAUAAAAAUGACUAUGCUUGUGCUAACAUCCAAAUACCUCGGUGAUAUAUUAGUUUAAAUGUAAGGUAUCCAGGUCAAGUCCAAAACAUUAAAGUUUAGCAUUGAUACACCAAUAUAAGUGGUUAAGAUUACUUAAAAAGCAUUUUCUUCAUUCAGUCAUUCAGUACAGUGUGGAGAUUGUGUAAAAAGCCGUAAAUGAAAGCCCUAAAUAUUUUAUUUUUGACUGAAUUUACAGAUCUUUUAUCUGAAUAUAUUGAAGGUAUUAGUUUUUGUUAAAAUUCAUAUUUAAAUGCUUUGUUACAUUUUAACAUUUAAGUUAAUGUGAAAGGCAAGAUUGCAUAAAAGAAUUUUUCCUGCUGUUGCUUAGAUUAAGGCAACAUUUAGAUUAAAGCUUGUGCUUCAUUUUACAGUAUUGACAAAUAUAAUAUAACUCCUACCUUCAGUAAGGCUCAGAAUUUCAUAAGACAAAUACAGCCUCCAUUUAAAUGUGUUAAUCACAAUUUAAAUUUGUAGAAAUUAAGCACUGUACACACACUUUGUAUAAUAAAAUAUGCAGCUAAUGGAAAUGAGAAUAAAUAUGUAUUUGUUAAGUCUACCUAUUUUAGUGCCAUACUUGAUGACUAAUGAUUUUAAAUGUUUCAUGUGUACAAUGUUUUUACAUUGUAAUAAUUCAGUACAGUGCAAAAGUACUUUCUGCUAAAGAUCACAUUCUGUGCAUAAAAAAUAAGAAGUCGGUAAUUUGAUCAAAUUUGCUCGCUACAUAGCAGUAAGUGGGAAAACAUUUGCCCUAGAUUAUACUUGGUGGUUUUCAUGGAAAAGCAGUUUACUGGCAGUGAUUCUUGAAAUGGUUGUGUAAUAUAAAUAUGUAAAAUAAGUUGUCUAAUGCAUUUCCCAACAUUUCAUAGCAUUAAACUUUAGAAUUACUGCACAUGGAAAUGAGUACUAGUAUUGUGCAAUAAUAAGUGUUGGCAUUUUGCAGCAUCAUGGAAUAUUUUAUUUACUGGAGAAAUAAAAGGUAAUUGACA